CACAGGGCUGAAAUCCCUAAUGUUGAAGCUUCCUGACCAGGAAAACGAGCAGAGGGCCCAGAGAGCUUAGCCAUUACAGAAUGGCUUGGUUCGUCACUUGGCCUGGCUCAGCCCUGCUUUGGGAUGUGUUGAUAGUGCCUUUCUUGGACUAAAAUCCUUGCUCUCUGCCUGUCGUGCUCCAUGUCACUUCAGAAUGCCAGAGCCAGAAAAGGCCUCAGAGCUCGGAGGCCUUGUGCUGUGGCUUUGUCUUUCUGCUUGCACCUGUCACGGCUCGCUUCAGGGAACAGCGCAGACCCGCAUGCUCAGCUCUCAGUCCGGCUCCCUGCUACCCCUGUGACCAGGAGCACCUUCAUGUCUGCUCGCCCUGUGAUUUGGAGAGUGUGUUUGAUGCGCUUGGCUUCUGCUGAUGGCCUAUCCUCCCAGUUCUGGCCAGAGGCAGAUGCGGUGGGGGCCUCUUCUCCACUGCCCCCCUGCCUGCACCUCCAGCAGGUGGCCCAGUCCUAUAUUUCCAUUGCUUUGCUCUUUCUUGCUUUAAAAUAAACAACAAAGGCAACAGAC
ensembl:lncRNA novel transcript